GCCCGCAGUAUCAUAGCAACGGGAUGGAUGCCAGCGUAGCCCGCAGUAUCAUAGCAACGGGAAGGAUGCCAGCGUAGCCCGCAGUAUCAUAGCAACGGAAGGAUGCCAGCGUAGCCCGCAGUAUCAUAGCAACGGGAAGGAUGCCAGCGUAGCCCGCAGUAUCAUAGCAACGGGAAGGAUGCCAGCGUAGCCCGCAGUAUCAUAGCAACGGGAAGGAUGCCAGCGUAGCCCGCAGUAUCAUAGCAACGGGAUGGAUGCCAGCGUAGCCCGCAGUAUCAUAGCAACGGGAAGGAUGCCAGCGUAGCCCGCAGUAUCAUAGCAACGGGAAGGAUGCCAGCGUAGCCCGCAGUAUCAUAGCAACGGGAUGGAUGCCAGCGUAGCCCGCAGUAUCAUAGCAACGGGAUGGAUGCCAGCGUAGCCCGCAGUAUCAUAGCAACGGGAAGGAUGCCAGCGUAGCCCGCAGUAUCAUAGCAACGGGAAGGAUGCCAGCGUAGCCCGCAGUAUCAUAGCAACGGGAAGGAUGCCAGCGUAGCCCGCAGUAUCAUAGCAACGGGAUGGAUGCCAGCGUAGCCCGCAGUAUCAUAGCAACGGGAUGGAUGCCAGCGUAGCCCGCAGUAUCAUAGCAACGGGAAGGAUGCCAGCGUAGCCCGCAGUAUCAUAGCAACGGGAAGGAUGCCAGCGUAGCCCGCAGUAUCAUAGCAACGGGAUGGAUGCCAGCGUAGCCCGCAGUAUCAUAGCAACGGGAUGGAUGCCAGCGUAGCCCGCAGUAUCAUAGCAACGGGAAGGAUGCCAGUGUAGCCCGCAGUAUCAUAGCAACAGGCAGCCAUCUGUGAGCCAGACAAACCAAUGUCUUAAUGUGUGUGUCUCAAAAGGCUCACUAUUCCCUAUAUUAUAGUGAACUACUUUUGACCCGGGACCGUAGGAAGCCCCAUAGAGCUCUGGUCAACAGCAGUGCACUAUACAGGGAAUGGGUUACCAAUGGAGACGCAGACCAAGUUCUGUAUAAUAUUGGAUGGUUUCUCCUAAUGUCUUAAUUAAAGUGGUAUGUUUAAGCAAUAAGGCCAGAGGGGGUGUGGUAUAUGGCCAAUAUACCACGGCUGAGGGCUGUUCUUCAUGCAUGACGCAUCGCGGAGUCGCCUAGUGGUUACAGCGUUGGGACAGAAACCGAAAGGUUGCGAAGAUCAAAUCCCCGAGCUGUCGUUCUGAACAAGGCAGUUAACCCACUGUUCCUAGGCCGUCUUUGUAAAUAAGAAUUUGUUCUUAUUAACUGACUUGCCUGGUUAAAUAAUGGUUAAAUAAAUAAAAUAUAUAUUUUUUUUUAAAUCCACAAACCCCCGAGUAGCAUUAUUGCUAUUAUAAACUGGUUAACAGCGUAAUGUUGUCAUACCCGUGGUAUACGGUCUAAUAUACCACGGCUAUCAGCCAAUAAGCAUUCAGGGCUCGAAUCACCCAGUUUCUAAAUAUAUAUAUAAUGAGGGUAAUUCAUAUUGAAGGGAAGAGGUUGUGUGUUUGUCUGUUAUGGGGGUCAGUGGUAAUAACUAGAGAGGGUUGAUAUGAUUCUGUUAUGGGGGUCAGUGGUGAUAAAUGUAAUCACUCUGUUCCUGGAGAGCUACCCUCCUGUAGGUUUUAACUCCAACCCUGUUCCUGGAGAGAUACCUCCUGUAGGUUUUAACUCCAACCCUGUUCCUGGAGAGAUACCCUCCUGUAGGUUUUAACUCCAACCCUGUUCCUGGAGAGCUACCCUCCUGUAGGUUUUAACUCCAACCCUGUUCCUGGAGAGAUACCCUCCUGUAGGUUUUAAUUCCAACCCUGUUCCUGGAGAGAACCUACAGGAGGGCAUCUCUCCAGGAACAGGGUUGGAGUUAAAACCUACAGGAGGGUAUCUCUCCAGGAACAGGGUUGGAGAUAAAACCUAGAGGAGGGUAGGGGCCCAGGUUCCUGUUAGUUUUAUUCUGACACCCUGUCCUAUUCCCUAUAUAGUGCAGUGUGCACUAUAUUUGACCAGAACCUCUGUAGGGAAUAGGGUGCCACAACAUUCUGUUUCCAUGGUGAUGUGGAGCUCAGCUUGUCUCGUUGGAAGGCAACACACAUAAUGCCUUUUUUUUCUUUUUACAAGGUUACUUAAAAAAAAAGGUUAAGUUAAGCACUUGAGUUUCAUAUGGUAAUCGUAAAUAAAAAAACUAUUUCUACUUCCUGCAUUCAGAAAGAGUUUAAACAUGGCGAUAUCCAGCUGUUGUCAUUUUCAAUUUAAGGAAAUCGCCUGUUUGAGUGUUCGUCCCAAAUGGCACCCGAUUCCCUAUGUAGUGCACUACUUUUGACCAGGGCCUAGAGGGUAAGCCAUAUAGGGCCUUGGUCAAAAAUAGUGCAGAGGGUGCCGUUUGGGAUGAACGCUGGGACAGAUGGGACUCCAUUGUUUAACAUAAAAGGGCUAUCGCCUCAUUGGUCCCUCUCAUGUAACCAAUGGCCUGAAGGAUGUUUUAUGUUUGUUUGUGACAAAAUGAUGUUUUAAAUUGUCAAUUUGUUUAAUUGUUCAUGAAUAGGUUCAUUCUUUCCCACCUGUCCUGAGGUUGGUUGGUUUCUAAUUGCGUAGAUUGAAUGAUUAAAUAUCUGUCUUUAAAAAAAAAAAAAUCUCUUAUUUUUUCAUUUAGUGGAAUUCAACCACUUUUCCGUAAGUUGUGGUCUAUAUAGGGGCGGCAGGCAGCCUAGUGGUUAGAGUGUAGGGGCGGCAGGUAGCCUAGUGGUUAGAGUGUAGGGGCGGCAGGUAGCCUAGUGGUUAGAGUGUAGGGGCGGCAGGCAGCCUAGUGGUUAGAGUGUAGGGGCGGCAGGUAGCCUAGUGGUUAGAGUGUAGGGGCGGCAGGUAGCCUAGUGGUUAGAGUGUAGGGGCGGCAGGUAGCCUAGUGGUUAGAGUGUAGGGGCGGCAGGUAGCCUAGUGGUUAGAGUGGAGGGGCGGCAGGUAGCCUAGUGGUUAGAGUGGAGGGGCGGCAGGUAGCCUAGUGGUUAGAGUGUAGGGGCGGCAGGUAGCCUAGUGGUUAGAGUGUAGGGGCGGCAGGGUAGCCUAGUGGUUAGAGUGUAGGGGCGGCAGGUAGCCUAGUGGUUAGAGUGUAGGGGCGGCAGGUAGCCUAGUGGUUAGAGUGUAGGGGCGGCAGGUAGCCUAGUGGUUAGAGUGUAGGGGCGGCAGGUAGCCUAGUGGUUAGAGUGUAGGGGCGGCAGGUAGCCUAGUGGUUAGAGUGUAGGGGCGGCAGGUAGCCUAGUGGUUAGAGUGUAGGGGCGGCAGGUAGCCUAGUGGUUAGAGUGUAGGGGCGGCAGGUAGCCUAGUGGUUAGAGUGUAGGGGCGGCAGGUAGCCUAGUGGUUAGAGUGUAGGGGCGGCAGGGUAGCCUAGUGGUUAGAGUGUAGGGGCGGCAGGUAGCCUAGUGGUUAGAGUGUAGGGGCGGCAGGUAGCCUAGUGGUUAGAGUGUAGGGGCGGCAGGCAGCCUAGUGGUUAGAGUUGGGCUAGUAAUCGAAAGGUUGCUAGAUUGGAUCCCCCGAGCUGACGAGGUAAAAAUCUGUCGUUCUGCCCCCAAACAAGGCAGUUUAACCCACUGUUCCUAGGCCAUCAUUGUAAAUAAGAAUGUGUUCUUAACAGACUUGCCCGGUUAAAUAUAAGGGAUGCCAUUUGGGACAAACUAAGUUGUAUACUGGAGAUGAUGAAUGAGGUUUAACAGUGGUGGAAUGUCCCCUUUAAUUAAACUGGUAAUACUACUUCUGGUGCACUGUGAUUCUCUCUGACGCGUUACCAUGGUGAGGGUGCACAACCAUUUUUGCUAAAUAUGUGUAUGUGACAAACCAAAUGUGAUUUGACUGUGAUUCCCUCUGAUGCGUUACCUGGUUUGUUAUGGUUUCUCUCCCAAAAAAAUGAAGACUUGGCAAACAAACAAAUUAAUAAAAUAUGUUUUUUUUUUUU